AACGAACGCUGGCGGCAGGCUUAACACAUGCAAGUCGAACGCACCGCAAGGUGAGUGGCAGACGGGUGAGUAACGCGUGGGAACCUACCCCUUGGUACGGGACAGCUCCGGGAAACUGGAGAUAAUACCGUAUGUGACCUGAGGGUCAAAGAUUCAUCGCCAAGGGAUGGGCCCGCGUCGGAUUAGCUAGUUGGUGGGGUAGCGGCCUACCAAGGCGACGAUCCGUAGCUGGUCUAAGAGGAUGAUCAGCCACAUUGGGACUGAGACACGGCCCAAACUCCUACGGGAGGCAGCAGUGGGGAAUAUUGGACAAUGGGCGCAAGCCUGAUCCAGCCAUGCCGCGUGAGUGAUGAAGGCCCUAGGGUUGUAAAGCUCUUUCACCGGGGACGAUAAUGACGGUACCCGGAGUAGAAGCCCCGGCUAACUUCGUGCCAGCCGCCGCGGUAA
rnacentral:rRNA from 1 species